rnacentral:rRNA from 1 species
UCCGUAGGCGGGCAAUUAAGUCAGAGGUGAAAUCCCACAGCUCAAUUGUGGAACUGCCUUUGAUACUGGUUGUCUUGAGUUACAGUGAAGUAGAUAGAAUAUGUAGUGUAGCGGUGAAAUGCAUAGAUAUUACAUAGAAUACCGAUUGCGAAGGCAGUCUACUAACUGUAUACUGACGCUAAUGGACGAAAGCGUGGGGAGCGAACAGGAUUAGAUACCCUGGUAGUCC